GAUAAAAUAAUGGUCAGUGCAAAGUAGCCUACAAAUUCUUUGGUGGGGGGCGGUGAGGGACCUGGAUAAAGGCUGGGGGGCACUGGCCCAAAACGGUUGAGAAACACUGGUCUAAACAAAGUAAAUCCUCAUGAAGAUUUUAUCAACCUGCCUCUGAUUUCACUGCAGACCUUCUACUUCCUGGUUCUGCUGCUCUGAAAGAAAAAACUACAACUCAGGUGAGCUGUGACAUCAUCAGUUACGCAACAUCCGUCACAUUUACUUUCAGUUUGAAUGACACUGUUAAAGUGCGGCUCUGAUCAGGUUGUUGGAUCUUUAUUUGUUGUUCAGAUGUUUUUCUUCGACUCUUUUGAUCGUUUGAACAAAUUGUCAGAAUUAUAUUACUGAUGAACUGGAAUCAAACAACUUGAUAAAAGGACGAUGUUUCUAUGAUUUCUUCUCUGAAAAAUCUGCUUCAUGUUUUUAUUUCCUGUGAUCAAACUCUGGUCUCCACCAUCAACGUUGAAUCAGUGAAUGUAAAUGCUGCUCCAUCUCUCCAGCUAGUGGACUGAUAGUAGAAGUGCAGGUUGAACCAGUGAAUGUAAAUGUUGCUCCAUGUCUCCAUCUAGUGGACUGAUAGUAGAAGUGCAGCAGCUGAUGCAGCUUCCUCUGCCUCUCUGCUGUCUGACUGCAUUCACCUGACACUGAUAUGAAGCAGAGAAG